GUUUGGGGGAGGGAGGGGACGCCCCAAGAUGGUUUCUGUGACCAGCAUCUUGAGGUCAGGUCCCUGGGGCCCUGGCCCACAGCGGCACUGGUGGCCCAAGGGGAAGGACAGGACGGAAGGAACCAGGCAUGUGGAGUGAGGUUCAGGACCGUCUGCACAGCUGGGAAGGGCCUAAAAGGCCUUUUGCUUGCUCCGCACGCAUCCCCUACUUUGCGGCUUUCAGACCUGAACUGAGGAUGGAGGGAACAUGCCCAAGGAUGGACCCCCACCCCACCCCGCCCAGAGCACAAGGGAAGGUGGCUGUCCUGGGGCUGUCCCCAGGACUCCAGUCAGUGCCUUCAGCCCACCUGUGGGAGCCUGGAGUUCGGGGUGGGGGGUGCAGAUAAGUCCGUCAAGCACAAUCAAUCUCCGGGUGGAACCAAAGAAGGAAAGAGCCAGGGCUGGGGGCACUGGCCCCCAGGAGCACAUGCGGGGUCCCCACCGGCCACAGCCACAGAGCAACAGGGUGGGGGUGUCUUCUCCUGUCCAGGGGUGA
rnacentral:lncRNA from 1 species